rnacentral:rRNA from 1 species
GACGAACGCUGGCGGCGUGCUUAACACAUGCAAGUCGAACGGAAAGGCCCUGCUUUUGUGGGGUGCUCGAGUGGCGAACGGGUAAGUAACACGUGAGUAACCUGCCCUUGACUUUGGGAUAACUUCAGGAAGCUGGGGCUAAUACCGGAUAGCAGCUCCUGCUGCAUGGUGGGGGUUGGAAAGUUUCGGCGGUUGGGGAUGGACUCGCGGCUUAUCAGCUUGUUGGUGGGGGAGUGGCUUACCAAGGCUUUGACGGAUAGCCGGCCUGAGAGGGUGACCGGCCACAUUGGGACUGAGAUACGGCCCAGACUCCUACGGGAGGCAGAAGUGGGGAAUAUUGCACAAUGGGCGGAAGCCUGAUGCAGCAACGCCGCGUGCGGGAUGACGGCCUUCGGGUUGUAAACCGCUUUCGCCUGUGACGAAGCGUGAGUGACGGUAAUGGGUAAAGAAGCACCGGCUAACUACGUG